rnacentral:sRNA from 1 species
CACCCGUACUCGAAAAAUACCAGUCAGUUGUUCUACUUUAUUAUAAUAGCCAAACAAGUGCGCUGUGAAACAUUGCGCCUACCAAGCUUGCGUCUACGUCACAAGCGUUAAAUACUUCGAUGGAUCUGCUAUGGCUCUUUUGUAUCAAUUCAUCUCCUUGCGCUAUUUUGUGGCCUUCGGUGAAAACAACGAAAAUGUGUUGCUUUUAUGUCCGCUGAUUGCCUAAAUGAGAUGACGAUCAUUUCUUUCAUCAGCAUGGCCCUAUGAAUUGCUGAUCUCCUCUGCUUUCCUUGUCUGCUAUUGUCAGUUAUGCGUAUCGUUAAAAUUACAUGGGUUUCAAGUUUGCUUCUGACUACCCGGCAAUUGUUGCCAUGAAGAGGCAGUACAUAUAGUAACAUCAUCCUUUUAAGGCGAAUUUACUUGAUCAAGUUGAAUCCCUGUAAGAGAGACUCGGUGAGGCAACAGAGUCCGACGCUAAGGAUCAUUUCGAACUGCUUAGCGCAGUUUUAAAGCUGGGAUCUCAUCUUUUGGCCGGGGGGAGGGAUAUCGAGGCUCAACAUUGCAUGAAUAAACUGUGAAUCUUUG